rnacentral:rRNA from 1 species
AGCAGCCGCGGUAAUUCCAGCUCCAAUAGCGUAUAUUAAAGUUGUUGCAGUUAAAAAGCUCGUAGUUGAAUUUCGGGACCAAUAUGUCGGUCGUGCCUCGGUACGCACUGGCUUAUUGGUUUCUCCUUUCUGAAGAACCAUGAUGUCAUUCAUUUGGUGUCGUGGGGAAUCAGGACUGUUACUUUGAAAAAAUUAGAGCGUUUAAAGCAGGCUCACGCUUGAAUACAUUAGCAUGGAAUAAUGAAAUAGGACGUUUGAUUCUAUUUUGUUGGUUUCUAGGAUCGACGUAAUGAUUAAUAGGGAUAGUUGGGGGCAUUAGUAUUCAAUUGUCAGAGGUGAAAUUCUUGGAUUUAUUGAAGACUAACUACUGCGAAAGCAUUUGCCAAGGAUGUUUUCAUUAAUCAAGAACGAAAGUUAGGGGAUCGAAGACGAUCAGAUACCGUCGUAGUC